rnacentral:lncRNA from 1 species
UGGACUGACAUGCGCCAUGGCCUGCAGAAUAGUGCCCUUUGUGGGGUACUCAGCCCAUUCAAGAGAACUUGCCUUGAUCUCGGACACUGGUGCUUCUGG